GACGAACCGUGCGAACGUUGUUCGGAAUCACUGGGCUUAAAGGGCGCGUAGGCGGCUCCGCCAGUCGGGGGUGAAAUCCCACGGCCUAACCGUGGAAGUGCCUCCGAUACUGCGGGGCUGGAGGGAGGUAGGGGCAGCGGGAACUUCGGGUGGAGCGGUGAAAUGCGUUGAUAUCCGAAGGAACGCCGGUGGCGAAAGCGCGCUGCUGGACCUCUUCUGACGCUGAGGCGCGAAAGCUAGGGGAGCAAACAGG
rnacentral:rRNA from 1 species